GGCUGAAGGAAGGUGACUGGGUGAUAUUACCUCAGGAAAGAAGAGGAUUUGACACAGAAAGUUUGCCUGUUUGUGUCUCUCAGAAGCAGAUUCCAGGAUAAACAGUCGAGUGUUCGGGAGGCACAGGGGACACCAAUAAGGAAAUGAAGAUGGCUGGCAACCUUAAGGAGGAGGCCUUGGAAAGCCACCAACUGUAACAGAAAUAUAUAUAGUCAGAAUUGGUUGCUGCGGCUUGAAUGCUUCAUUACCUUCUGCCCAUCAUGAACUGUUUCUCUUUGGCACUGCCCCUCCACCACACCACCCUGCCUUGGAGCCAGCCAUGUAUGGACUGAAACCUCUACAAACUGUGAGCAAAAACAAAUCUUUCCUACUUUAACUUUGGGUGUCAGGUAUUUUGUCUCA
rnacentral:lncRNA from 1 species